rfam:Erinaceus europaeus unplaced genomic scaffold scaffold00043, whole genome shotgun sequence
GGAUGUGAGGGUGAUCUGGCUGUGACAUCUGUCACCCCAUUGAUCGCCAGGGUUAAUUUGGCUGAUCUAGCUGGCUAGGCAGGUGUCCCUGUCCUCCCUCACCACUCCAUGUGCGUCCCUCCUGAAGCUGCACCCUCGGUUGAAGAGGACGGCCUUCCCCGAAUAGAGACGGACGGGUCUUUGGAGGGUCUAAGAGUAGCUGCACUCCCCUGCUAGAACCUCCAAAUAAGCUUUCAAGGCCCAUGUACCACAGUGGUACUCUAUUUGUCUCGUUCUCUCU